CAAAGAAAAUUGUCAUAUGCCGGCCGGUCUUGGGGUUUUUUGAAAUUUUGGCUAGAAAAAAUGAUUUUAUUGUGUAUUGUUGGUUCGCAAUAUUUUCCUAAGGCUCUGCUCGACCUUAUGUAAUAACAUGUUAAUAAUAGCACACACGAGCACACAGUCUUCAUGCGUCCUUUCACACAAGUGGAAAAGGUGGAGAUCCCAGACAACGGUGCUUAAUUGGUAUUGGAAGUGACUAUGGUGAGGCUUAAUCGUCAACCAAGGGUUAAAUACAAUGCAGGAAGCUAAAUAGGCAUCGAGAGACAAAGAUUUAUGGUAAAUGGAGGCUUCAAUAAAACAGUUCAGCCCUAUCUACAACUACAACUUUGAAACUAAACAAAGAGACUUUAUCUUCGUGGCAGUUAUUGGUAUGUCCUUCAUCGACCGCAACAAUUUGAAGAAGAUGCCAUUACACUGAUUAAAUUCAACAGUGGAAUGAGGAUGAAAUUCAACAUUAAAGAGAAAUUAAAUAAUUUUAGAUUUUCCAGGGCAGUACAUUUUUAUCCUUUUGAUUCAUAUCCUAACCAACAAUGCAUCAGGACUUUUAAGUAUAUUUAAAAUUUUAUUUCUUUUUGGAUAAAUAUAUAUUUCAACUGUUCAUUAUUUUUAAAUUUGAUUACUUAGGAAAAAAAUCCAAUGAGUCUCUGAGUUACAUUUUUAUGAUUCUUUAUUAUCAGACCAUCUAUUUUUAUUUUGGGACAAUAUUUGGCUUUUGGCCACUUCAUUUUCUUUUUUGUAAAUUUUUGAAAACAUCCACUUAGAACUUUACUUCAAGUUGUUUUUGGUUUAUUUUUAUUUCUCUGUAAUAGCUUGACUCUCAUAUUUUCUUGCUUAUAGGAAUAUCAGUAUUUCUAUAGGUUUUAUUCGUUUGGUAAAUGCAUGUUUAAGUAAAUGGUAUAUUUACUUAAAUGGUAGUAGGAUUUUACUUCAUGUUGUUUAUGGUUAACUUUUAUUUCUCUAUAACAGCUUGAUUUCUAUAUUAUAUUCAUUGUGGGAAUAAUAACAUCAU